rnacentral:lncRNA from 1 species
CACCAAUUCAAGAAUAGAAGAGCAACAUCCUUGAAUGCUACUUGAUUUGUGGCUUAGUUGAAUCCCAAAAAUAGAGUUGUCACUUGUUCUUUCGUUUGCUCAUGGGAGAGACUCCAACUAUCUUCAAGAAGCGUAUUAUCGUGCCUCUAAGCCAAGCAAGUUUUAUUUUGAAUUUCUUGUACAAUUAUCAUUAUUGUUCUAACAGCUUUCACAAUAAGACUUCUUAUUAAUUAAUUGGUGAAUUUUUAUCCAAAAAUGCUACUGUAAUAAAUUUUAUCAAAGUAGUUAACUCAGUCAGUGUGUGUAAUUAAUCAUCAAACUCAUUAUAUUGUUAUCCCACCCAAAUUCUCAAUUGACCAUCUAUCCGAGUAGACCACCCCACCAGCCAGCAGAGCUUGCUGCCUUUUAGUUUGCUUUCACAUUCUUCUAAGGUAAUAUUAAAUAUGUGGAAAAAAUCAAGCACCAAAUACCCAAUCUGAAAACAUCAAGCUUAAUAUUACAUAUUUUUUCACGAGAUGAUUAGAUUUGCAGCAAUUAAUCAGUUUCAAAAGUCGAAAAGACAGCGAGAAUCAGUAAUCCAAAAUAACAUAUAAUUACAUGCAAUAGUUAUCUAUUUUCAACCAUGCAUUUGUGGAUCAGAUAGAAUUACUGACAAGAAUAUAAGAAAUUUAGCAAUAGAUUCUGAGAAAACAUAGAAAAUAAAAGUUGAAACAAAAAUGAUGCUCAAAAAUCCCUUCAAGAAAGGAAAACAACGGGAAAAUGCUUACCAGAUGUAACGAGUAAGAUGGAAGCUAAGCAUCAUAAGAGGAAUAACCAAAAUCGAACCGGAAAGAAAAGGUCGGAGAGAAAAAUAACGAUGGUGUUAUUUUUGGUUUCACA